GGGGGUGUAGCUCAGAGGCAGAGCGCUUGCUUCGCAUGUGAGAAGUCCCGGGUUCGAACCCCGGCACCUCCA
rnacentral:tRNA from 1 species